AACGAACGCUGGCGGCAUGCCUAACACAUGCAAGUCGAACGAUCCCUUCGGGGAUAGUGGCGCACGGGUGCGUAACGCGUGGGAACCUGCCCUUAGGUUCGGAAUAACUCAGAGAAAUUUGAGCUAAUACCGGAUAAUGUCUUCGGACCAAAGAUUUAUCGCCUUUGGAUGGGCCCGCGUUGGAUUAGCUAGUUGGUGGGGUAAAGGCCUACCAAGGCGACGAUCCAUAGCUGGUCUGAGAGGAUGAUCAGCCACACUGGGACUGAGACACGGCCCAGACUCCUACGGGAGGCAGCAGUGGGGAAUAUCGGACAAUGGGCGAAAGCCUGAUCCAGCAAUGCCGCGUGAGUGAUGAAGGCCUUAGGGUUGUAAAGCUCUUUUACCCGGGAUGAUAAUGACAGUACCGGGAGAAUAAGCCCCGGCUAACUCCGUG
rnacentral:rRNA from 1 species